rnacentral:rRNA from 1 species
UUGUUGGUAAGGUAAAAGCUUACCAAGGCUUCGAUCAGUAGCUGGUCUGAGAGGACGACCAGCCACACUGGGACUGAGACACGGCCCAGACUCCUACGGGAGGCAGCAGUGGGGAAUUUUGGACAAUGGGGGCAACCCUGAUCCAGCCAUGCCGCGUGAGUGAAGAAGGCCUUCGGGUUGUAAAGCUCUUUCAGCCGGAACGAAACGGUUACGGAUAACACCCGUGACUACUGACGGUACCGGAAGAAGAAGCACCGGCUAACUACGUGCCAGCAGCCGCGGUAAUACGUAGGGUGCGAGCGUUAAUCGGAAUUACUGGGCGUAAAGCGUGCGCAGGUGGUUUUGUAAGUCAGAUGUGAAAGCCCCGGGCUCAACCUGGGAACUGCGUUUGAAACUACAAGACUAGAGUGUGGCAGAGGGGGGUGGAAUUCCGCGUGUAGCAGUGAAAUGCGUAGAGAUGUGGAGGAACACCGAUGGCGAAGGCAGCCCCCUGGGUCAACACUGACGCUCAGGCACGAAAGCAUGGGGAGCAAACAGGAUUAGAUACCCUGGUAGUCCAUGCCCUAAACGAUGUCAACUAGUUGUCGGGCCUUUACGGGCUUGGUAACGUAGCUAACGCGUGAAGUUGACCGCCUGGGGAGUACGAUCGCAAGAUUAAAACUCAAAUGAAUUGACGGGGACCCGCACAAGCGGUGGAUUAUGUGGAUUAAUUCGAUGCAACGCGAAAAACCUUACCUACCCUCGACAUGUAUCGAAGCCCGCAGAAAAGCGGGGGUGCCCGAAAGGGAACGAUAACACAGGUGCUGCAUGGCUGUCGUCAGCUCGUGUCGUGAGAUGUUGGGUUAAGUCCCGCAACGAGCGCAACCCUUGUCAUUAAUUGCCAUCAUUUAGUUGGGCACUUUAAUGAGACUGCCGG